ensembl:lncRNA
CUCAAAUCCUCAGGAGAUGGGUUGACUAAGGCUAUGGGUUUUCACUUAUCCGUGCAAAGGAGCAUGGCAAAAUAGAUUUCCUUGGCCCUGCACAUGCUUUACAUCCCUGUUCCAGGGCAACUCAAACUGUGACAGAAGGAGCUUCCAAAGGCACUGUGGUGGUCUAGUUUGCUGUAACCUAAGAAGUCAUCCUCUGCAGCUCUCUGCCCACAGCUCUCUGCCGGAGGUUUCCUCCCCAGCAGCAGUGGUGGCAACAGAAAGGAGCAACUUCACUGAGUAUGAAUGUUAAUGAAAGACCACAUUCCUCUCUUCCUCCAAAGACUGAGUCCUUUAUUCAGAGGGACAUAAUGAUGGAGAUAAUGGCUGGGUCAUCGAUACCACCCUCUCUUCUUUCUAAAGGAAAUGGAAGUUACUUUCCUGUGUCCUGGUGAAUGCAGUUUUGACAACACAUCAGUUAAAAAAACAAUUGGAUGGGAUGAAAAAAGGACCGAACACACAUCACGUUUCUGGGCUCCUCCUCUGCAGGAUGAUGAUUCUGGGCCUGGAGACAUUCACAACCAUACGCACUCCUGCCGUUGAUGCCUUCUGAACACACUCCUAUCCAUUCCAACUCUCCUCUUCAAACCUUUAGGUACACGGUUUUGUAAGGACACAACUGAGAAUGUUUUGUUUAAAUUAAGAGAAUUGUGACUGGGAAGGACUUUGCCAACCUAACCCUGAAAUCUAAUCCUGCUACCUUCUCUGGUGAGCAUUGGAAGCUCAGGCUGAGUCGAGCUGCUCUGUUGGAAGCUAUGCGUUAUUGCCAUGAGAGCCACAGCGGCACACCCCACUCGGCCUCCUGGGGCUUCAGCACGAAAUGCUCUGCAGUCACAUCCACACAAAUGGCUCUGCAUGCAUGUGCAGCCUCAGCUCUUCAGGCUGUGGCUGGAUCCUGUUCUAGUUUGGUGCUUUUUACAAUGCCAGCAGCCAGAGUGAACUCUUCCUUUCAUCCCAUCUGCUUCCUCUGGACACUUCCCAUCCCUGCUAAAAACAUUCUGCAAAUUUCAGUGGUGCUGUAGCUCUACAGCAGGAAACAGCCGGUAUUGGUGUCCUGCAAGCAAGGACAGAGCACAAGAUGGAACUCUGAUCCCAGCACUGCAACUCUUAUGAAUGAGCACAUUCUGUGUCAUCAGGUUAUUACACAGUGAACUCUACCUAAAAACAGUAGCAUGGCCAUCAGGGGAGGCAGAGUCCUGCCAUGAAACAAUGCUGACCUCUGGCAAGUGGGAUGAAUUGUAUGGUAAGAAGAGAAAAAAAGAUCUAUUUUCUAGCCAAAGCACUCUGUCACAAAUGUAGAUGGUUGGCAAUGUGCAUGGUUGGCAAACCAUUUCAUCAGUGUGCUCUGCACACAAUGAGCUCAUAAUUUGUGAUACAGUGGGAAGCAAUCAUUUCAAACAGGCUGAGAGAGCUGGGGCUCUUCAGCCUGAAGAAGAGAAGGCUUCAAGGGGACCUUACAGUGACCUUCCAGUACCUGAAGGAGGCCUAUGGGAAAGCUGGGGAGGGACUUUUUAGAAGGGCACAUAGUGACAGGAUGAGGGAAAAUGGUUUUAAACUGGAAGAGGGUAAGUUUAGACUAGCUACUGGAAAGAAAUUCUUUACUAUGAAGGUGGUGAGACACUGGAACAGGUUUCCUGGGAAGGGUGUGAAUGUCCCCUCCCUGGAAGCAUUCAAGGCCAGACUGGAUGGGACUUUGAGCAUCCUGGCCUAGUGGGAGGUGUCCCUGCCUAUAGCAGGGGAUUGGAACCAGAUCAUCUUAAAGGUCCCUUCCAACUCAAACCAUUCUAUGAUUCUAUGAUAAUUUUAGGAGAAAUAAGGAGGACACUUUCAGAUACAGCUGAUAGCCUUCACUUUCAG